ACCCUGAUCCAGCCAUGCCGCGUGUGUGAAGAAGGCUUUCGGGUUGUAAAGCACUUUCAGUGGGGAGGAAGGCUCNNNGGUUAAUACCCUUUGGGAUUGACGUUACUCACAGAAGAAGCACCGGCUAACUCCGUGCCAGCAGCCGCGGUAAUACGGAGGGUGCGAGCGUUAAUCGGAAUUACUGGGCGUAAAGCGCGCGUAGGUGGUUUGAUAAGCGAGAUGUGAAAGCCCCGGGCUUAACCUGGGAACGGCAUUUCGAACUGUCAGGCUAGAGUGUGGUAGAGGGGUGUGGAAUUUCCUGUGUAGCGGUGAAAUGCGUAGAUAUAGGAAGGAACACCAGUGGCGAAGGCGGCACCCUGGNCCAACACUGACACUGAGGUGCGAAAGCGUGGGGAGCAAACAGGAUUAGAUACCCUNGUAGUCCACGCCGUAAACGAUGUCUACUAGCCNNNGGGACUCUUGAAGUCUUNNNGGCGC
rnacentral:rRNA from 1 species